rnacentral:rRNA from 1 species
CAGCAGCAGCCGCGGUAAUACGAAGGGUGCAAGCGUUAAUCGGAAUUACUGGGCGUAAAGCGUGCGUAGGCGGUUUGUUAAGUCUGCUGUGAAAUCCCCGGGCUCAACCUGGGAAUGGCAGUGGAUACUGGCAAGCUAGAGUGUGUCAGAGGAUGGUGGAAUUCCCGGUGUAGCGGUGAAAUGCGUAGAGAUCGGGAGGAACAUCAGUGGCGAAGGCGGCCAUCUGGGACAACACUGACGCUGAGGCACGAAAGCGUGGGGAGCAAACAGGAUUAGAUACCCCCGUAGUCCCUGUCUCUUAUAC